AUACUUACCUGGCAAGGGAGAUACCGUGAUCAACAAGGCGGUUCACCCAGGGCGAGGCUCAGCCAUUGCGCUUCGGCUGUGUUGCCCCCUGCAACUUCUCCAAAUGUGUGAAUCUCGACUGCAUAAUUUCUGGUAGUGGGUCUACAUGAGUAUAAUCGCAUG
ensembl:snRNA U1 U1 spliceosomal RNA